rnacentral:rRNA from 1 species
UGGGGAAUAUUGGACAAUGGGCGAAAGCCUGAUUCAGCCAUGCCGCGUGUGUGAAGAAGGUCUUCGGAUUGUAAAGCACUUUAAGUUGGGAGGAAGGGCAGUAAGCGAAUACCUUGCUGUUUUGAUGUUACCGACAGAAUAAGCACCGGCUAACUCUGUGCCAGCAGCCGCGGUAAUACAGAGGGUGCAAGCGUUAAUCGGAAUUACUGGGCGUAAAGCGCGCGUAGGUGGUUCGUUAAGUUGAAUGUGAAAGCCCCGGGCUCAACCUGGGAACUGCAUCCAAAACUGGCGAGCUAGAGUAGGGCAGAGGGUGGUGGAAUUUCCUGUGUAGCGGUGAAAUGCGUAGAUAUAGGAAGGAACACCAGUGGCGAAGGCGACCACCUGGGCUCAUACUGACACUGAGGUGCGAAAGCGUGGGGAGCAAACAGG